GACGAACGCUGGCGGCGUGCCUAAUACAUGCAAGUCGAACGCAGUGGGGGCGGGUUCGUAACACGUGGGUAACCUCCCAUCAGAGGGGAUAACACUUGGCAACAGGUGCUAAACCGAUACGGAUGGAGGUACCCGGGGUGGAUUAGCUAGUUGGUGAGGUAACGGCCCACCAAGGCCACGAUGCAUAGCCGAUCUGAGAGGUUGACCGGCCACACUGGGACUGAGACACGGCCCAGACUCCUACGGGAGGCAGCAGUAGGGAAUCUUCGGCAAUGGACGAAAGCCUGAUCCAGCAAUGCCGCGUGAGUGAAGAAGGUUUUCGGAUCGUAAAACUCUGUUGUUAGAGAAGCGGUAUCUAACCAGAAAGCCACGGCUAACUCCGUGCCAGCAGCCGCGGUAAUUC
rnacentral:rRNA from 1 species